rnacentral:rRNA from 1 species
UACGGAGGGUGCAAACGUUGCUCGGAAUCAUUGGGCGUAAAGCGCGCGCAGGCGGCCUUUUAAGUCUGAUGUGAAAGCCCACGGCUCAACCGUGGAAGGUCAUUGGAAACUGAAAGGCUUGAGUACAGAAGAGGAAAGCAGAAUUCCACGUGUAGCGGUGAAAUGCGUAGAGAUGUGGAGGAACACCAGUGGCGAAGGCGGCUUUCUGGUCUGUAACUGACGCUGAGGCGCGAAAGCGUGGGGAGCAAACAGG